rnacentral:rRNA from 2 species
UACGGAGGGGGCAAGCGUUAUUCGGAAUCAUUGGGCGUAAAGGGCGCGUAGGCGGCCUGGCAAGUCAAAGGUGAAAUCCCUCGGCCCAACCGAGGAACCGCCUUUGAAACUGCAAGGCUUGAGGCCGGGAGAGGGUAGCGGAAUUCCCAGUGUAGCGGUGAAAUGCGUAGAUAUUGGGAGGAACACCAGUGGCGAAGGCGGCUACCUGGACCGGUUCUGACGCUGAGGCGCGAAAGCGUGGGGAGCAAACAGG